GGAUGCGUGGCCGAGUGGUCGAAGGCGGCGGUCUUGAAAACCGCUGUGGGCGAAAGUCCACCGGGGGUUCGAAUCCCUCCGCAUCCGCCU
rnacentral:tRNA from 1 species